ACGUAGGUGGCGAGCGUUAUCCGGAUUUACUGGGCGUAAAGCGUGUGCAGGCGGGCUGUCAAGUGGUGCAUGAAAUCGCUCGGCUUAACCGGGCGGGGUUGUGCCAGACUGGCAGGCUAGAGUGCGGGAGAGGGAUGCGGAAUUCCAGGUGUAACGGUGAAAUGCGUAGAUAUCUGGAGGAACACCGGUGGCGAAGGCGGCAUCCUGGACCGGCAUUGACGCUGAGGCGCGAAAGCUAGGGGAGCAAACGGGA
rnacentral:rRNA from 1 species